UGCUUGAGCAAUACAUUAAAAUUGGAACAAUACAGAGAUUAGCAUGGACCCUGUGCGAGAAUAACAUGCAAAUUCAUGAAGUGUUUCAUAAUUUA
ensembl:snRNA U6 U6 spliceosomal RNA